AAUGAACGUUGGCGGCGUGGAUUAGGCAUGCAAGUCGCGCGAGAAGUUUCCUUCGGGAGACGGACAGCGGCGGAAGGGAGAGGAAUAAGUAGAAAUCUGCCCUCGGGACGGGGAUAGCGGCGGGAAACUGCCGGUAAUACCCGAUAACAUCUUUGGAUCAAAUGGUGUGAUUCCGCCUGAGGAUGAGUCUACUUCCUAUUAGCUAGUUGGUGUGGUAAUGGCUCACCAAGGCAACGAUGGGUAGCGGGUGUGAGAGCACGAUCCGCCUCACUGGGACUGAGACACUGCCCAGACACCUACGGGAGCAGCAGUUGGGAAUCUUCGGCAAUGGGCGCAAGCCUGACCGAGCAACGCCGCGUGAGUGAUGAAGGUUUUCGGAUUGUAAAGCUCUGUCUUCCGGGACGAUAAUGACGGUACCGGAGGAGGAAGCCACGGCUAACUACGUG
rnacentral:rRNA from 1 species